UAUAUACUCCCUCCGUCCAACAAAGGAUGCCUCAACUUUGACCAAAUUUGAAUGCAUCUAUACACUAUGUCAUGUCUAGAUACAUCCAAAUUUUGACAAACUUAAGACAUCUUUUGUUGGACGGAGGAAUAGUACAAA
rfam:Brachypodium distachyon strain Bd21 chromosome 1, whole genome shotgun sequence.